UGCUCAUAGCGGAGGAAAAGAAACCAACCGGGAUUGCCUUAGUAACGGCGAGUGAAGCGGCAAAAGCUCAAAUUUGAAAUCUGGUACCAUUCGGUGCCCGAGUUGUAAUUUGUAGAAGGCGACUCUGGGGCUGGGACCUUGUCUAUGUUCCUUGGAACAGGACGUCAUAGAGGGUGAGAAUCCCGUGUGGCGAGGCUCCCAGUUCUUUGUAGAGUGCUUUCGAAGAGUCGAGUUGUUUGGGAAUGCAGCUCUAAGUGGGUGGUAAAUUCCAUCUAAAGCUAAAUAUUGGCGAGAGACCGAUAGCGAACAAGUACAGUGAUGGAAAGAUGAAAAGAACUUUGAAAAGAGAGUGAAAAAGUACGUGAAAUUGUUGAAAGGGAAGGGCAUUUGAUCAGACAUGGUGUUUUGCGCCCCUUACUCCUCGUGGGUGAGGGAAUCUCGCAGCUCACUGGGCCAGCAUCA
rnacentral:rRNA from 1 species